CGCGUAGGCGGCUUUGUAAGUCACUUGUGAAAUCUCCGGGCUUAACUCGGAACGGCCAAGUGAUACUGCAAUGCUAGAGUGCAGAAGGGGCAAUCGGAAUUCUUGGUGUAGCGGUGAAAUGCGUAGAUAUCAAGAGGAACACCUGAGGUGAAGACGGGUUGCUGGGCUGACACUGACGCUGAGGCGCGAAAGCCAGGGGAGCAAACGGGAUUAGAUACCCCGGUAGUCCUGGCCCUAAACGAUGAAUACUUGGUGUCUGGAGUAAUUUGUGCUCCGGGUGCCGUCGCUAACGUUUUUAGUAUUCCGCCUGGGGAGUACGCUCGCAAGAGUGAA
rnacentral:rRNA from 1 species